CUUGACACAUUUUCUUCAUUAAAAAGAUUGAAAGAAAUGGUUCAAAUGGGGAGUCUUGUAACUCACGCAAUUAGAAGGGGUAACCUGAAAACUCAUGGUGAUAGUCAAUGAAGAAGCGGGAGGAUAAAUUUUCAUUGAAACAACAAGAACUGGCUGUGGAAACUGGAAAGACAUGCCACUCAGGAGAGGAAAAAAGGUGCUGGAGCCAACAACGCAGAACCUCCGUUACUUGAUGGUGUCAAGUCCGGAAUCAGAGUUCAUAUUCGAGUCUCUGUACGAAACGCACGUUCAGGUCUCAGUUUUGUGUGGGAAGAAACUGCAUUUGAAUUUGCGCAUUCGCAGCGGCGGUCACAAUUACGAGGGAGUGUCGUACGUAUCGAAGAUGAAAAUGCCGUUUUUACUUUGUCAUUGUGGAUUUGUGCACUCUCCGACAAAUUGAUGUUGAGGUGGAUUGUAACAACACGUGAGUUCACAUUGGGCUACUGUGUGCGAGGGAAAAAAAGCGGGAAGAAAGUUGAUACCAUAAAUAACAAAUAACCUUCAUAUAAAAACUGUUCGGUUUUUAUAGGGCCAAGAUAAAGAGGUUGGAACUUAACAAAUGUUGCACCAUUUUUAGAUUUGAUUGUUACUUUUCGUUCAUAUUUUGGUUUUGCCCUUUUCUAUCUUCACUUUGUAUUCCUUGAAAAUGAUGAAGGAAACAAGAGAUGAAUAAAGUG